rnacentral:lncRNA from 1 species
ACGAGCAGAGGGCGCGGGCACAUCGCGUCCGUCCGUCGCCGUUGCUGCCGUUGCCGCCGCUUGCCGCUCCAAGAGCUCCUGGAGCCGCUCGAAUCGGUUCUCCUGGCGCUGCACCACAUUGGUCAAUGCGGCCACUUGCGCCUGCAACCGAUCCAUCACGCUCGGUUCCUCCUGCUCGGGCACCUCAAAAGUUGGUGCAGGGGCAGAUCUACGUGUGUAGCGUCUUGGAGACAUUAGUCCCUGAAACGCAAAUACUUGGUUAAUCAUCAUAACCCUCGUCGCAAUUACGACACAUGACAACUUAAUAACAAAAUCGGGCGGAAGCACACAAGCGUACUCGUUCUAGACUCUUGGCAUCAUGUCAUCGGCCGCCGACACAACCACCUCAAAUCAAGAACUAAUGCCACUUGAAUCCGUCUCUAUUCACAACUAGAGACAUAUUAACAACUUCGACCCAAUCGAAUUAACUUCCGCCAUCGUUAUAGGUUCACGUUCCAUUCACGCACCUAUAACCUUAGGGCUUACCAACCUAGGGUCUCCAAGAUCAUCUUAGACUUUCUCUGUUUACUUGCUCUCAUUGCUCUGAUACCACAAAAGCUGUCACGCCCCGCCCCGAAACCACUACCAAUUUGGCACGAUUCGGCCGAGGCGGCGGACCGCCGAACAACAGGUAGAUAAAUAGAUAGAUAUCUGAAAGCUGUAAAUGCGAUAGUAGGAAAAACUAUGCUACUAUGCCCAUAAUUAUGAAUAUGGAUGCAUGCAUCAUAUAAUAAAGGUUUGCUACCAUGCUAACAAAUUCGAUCCAUGUUCGAAUAGCUAUGUUCAAUGACAUUUAUUAAACAUUUAACCUUUCAUUUACCCAAUCUGUGGCGAGGCCCUGGGGCUCGUCAAUGACUCACCUUUCAAUCCCAAAGUGGGGAGGGAGCUCCAAGUGCACCCAAGCCCGGGACCGUCUGCGGACCUCCAUGUGGUCCGGACCUCCAAGUGGUCCUAGUCGCGCGACACUCCGGAGUACUCGACGACAAUCCCCUCCAUGUGGGGAUUGGAUGGUUAUACCACCCUAAACGCAGAUUGUGAGCUAGAUCUAUCCUCUCCAAGUGAGGACACUCUACAACUAGGGUCACAACCCAAUCAAAUCCUCUCUAAGUGAGGGAGCACUCUACUACUAGAGUCAACAUCUCUCGCGGGAUCAUUUGUUCCCGACAUUCAUGCAAUGCUAUUUAGCUUUUCUAAAUUCAUUGUUCACAAGGCAUUUUCUAAGGGAUCCACCUAUCCCUAGGUUCUCAAACCUCUAGUGUCAUAUACACUACAUUAAUGCCACUCGUCAUCAUUUAAAUUUUGGAUGCCACUCGUGUGUUCUUUUACACUAAACACUACUUUCUAUGUCAUCAAUACCCCCAUCGGGUUCAUCUCUUUUCUUUCAUAUUAUAGGAUCCAUGUUCCGACCCAAUCCUUACCUAUCUAAGUUACCAAGCGUUCCAAGUACACUAGAUUAUCAUUUAGAAAGCAUAAGGAAUGGAGCUACUAUGCAAUCCUACAAUACAACAUGAAGAGAUGAGAUUAAAUGCAAUCUAAGACAUAGAAAGGAGUUCGAAAGCUUCGGCAGGGCACCC